rnacentral:rRNA from 1 species
ACGACCCUUAGCGAAGGAUGUCUUGGUUCCGGCAACGAUGAAGAACGCAGCGAAAUGCGAUAAGUAAUGCGAAUUGCAGAAUUCAGUGAAUCAUCGAAUCUUUGAACGC